AUUGAAGGUGAGUUCACUAUCUUCACAGUGGUGUGUCAAAGCCAGGUCAUUUUUUCCCACAGGCUUUUGGUGCCUGGUCUGUAUCAGGAGACAGAAUCUUGACAACUAGGAUAUUUUUCUAUGGGAGCUCAAAUCUGUUUAGCAUAGUCUUCUUCACAUGCUCAGAAGUUCUCGUAGAGAAGAGUCUUGGUCCAGCAUUCACUCCCAACCCAUAACCAUUGCCCAUCAGGAAUUCAUAUAUAUGACAGAGGCAACAGCAUUGUGUCUGGCGUAAACGGGCAAGAUCUUCAGUCCCAGGCAAUGGGCAAGUAUGAUAUUUGAAGAGAAUGGAAGCCACUUAGACAGUGUGAUCUAGCACAACAGGUCUACAGCCAGGUAGAAGACAAUACCUCUGAAGAGUCUGAGCAUGACAUCACUCAAGAAGAAGAGUAGGAGGAAGCCUUCUUCCCAGGCCCUGGGGAAUAUUGUUGGCUGCAGAAUUUCUCACGGGUGGAAGGAAGGUAAUGAGCCUGUCACCCAUUGGAAGGCCAUCAUUCUAGGUCAACUGCCAACAAACCCUUCUCUUUAUUUGGUGAAGUAUGACGGAAUUGACAGUGUCUACGGACAGGAGCUCCACAGCGAUGAGAGGAUUUUAAAUCUUAAGGUCUUGCCUCACAAAGUAGUUUUUCUUCAGGUGAGGGAUGUCCACCUCGCCAGCGCCCUGGUUUGCAGAGAGGUACAACACAAAUUUGAGGGGAAAGAUGGCUCUGAGGACAACUGGAGUGGGAUGGUGCUAGCCCAGGUGCCAUUCUUACAGGACUAUUUUUACAUUUCCUACAAGAAGGAUCCGGUCCUCUACGUCUAUCAGCUCCUGGAUGACUACAAGGAAGGUAACCACCACAUCAUUCCAGAGACCCCUCUGGCUGAGGCGAGAUCAGGUGAUGACAAUGACUUCUUAAUAGGUUCCUGGGUGCAGUACACCAGAGAUGAUGGAUCCAAAAAGUUCGGAAAGGUUGUUUACAAAGUUCUAGCCAAUUCUACUGUGUACUUUAUCAAAUUUCUUGGUGACCUACAUAUCUAUGUCUAUACUCUGGUGUCAAAUAUCACUUAAAUUAAAAAAAAUCACAAAGUACAGAAAAGUAAACUUAUAGGAUUGAAAAAAAUGUUUAUUUUCCUGUGUUGGGUACCUAUGGGUCUUUGACAACCUCAGUAUCUUUGUCAAUAAAAUUUGUUUUGUUCUAAAAAUUAAUA
rnacentral:lncRNA from 1 species